rnacentral:tRNA from 1 species
AUUUGCUUAGUAUAAAUAAUACACUAAUUUUCCAAAUUAGAAAUUUUAACAAAUU